UACAGAGGGUGCGAGCGUUAAUCGGAAUUACUGGGCGUAAAGCGUGCGCAGGCGGUUCGUUGUGUCGGCGGUGAAAGCCCCGGGCUUAACCUGGGAAUGGCCGUUGAAACUGGCGAACUGGAGUGUGGCAGAGGGGGGUGGAAUUCCGCGUGUAGCAGUGAAAUGCGUAGAGAUGCGGAGGAACACCGAUGGCGAAGGCAGCCCCCUGGGCUAACACUGACGCUCAGGCACGAAAGCGUGGGGAGCAAACAGG
rnacentral:rRNA from 1 species